rnacentral:tRNA from 1 species
GCAGUUGUGGCCGAGUGGUUAAGGCGMUAGACUUGAAAUCUAAUGGGGMCUCCCCGCGCKGGUUCGAACCCUGCCGACUGCG